rnacentral:lncRNA from 1 species
CCCCCCAAACCCUAAAGAUAGCCGCCACCAUCCCCAUCCGCCUACCGAUGGCGGCACUAGCUCUGUUCACCACCAAAAUACCACCACAUCCCCCUCUUUCCAAAUCUUAGGUUAGUUUCCCUCGAAUCUUGCCCAAAUCUCUCGAUUAGAUCCAAAUUCAAGCUCUAAAAGUUCAAAACUUGAUAUGGUCAAAAUUGGCGGCAUCCAUCGGCUCAUGAAGGCUGAUUCACUACAAAAUUGAUGUCAUUCGCUCUUUCUUGACAGAGAAAAGCUAUUGGUAUCAGUUUUCUGUGAAUCAGGUUAUCAGAUUUUUAAUUUCGAUUCUAGCCAAGUGAGUUCGAUUUUUCUUUUCGCAAAGUUUCAUUCGUUUGUUAUCCUCAUCCUCUCUUAUUCUUCUUCUUCUCCUCCUCCUCCUCCUUCUUCUUCUUCUUCCUUCUGCUUCUUCCUUCUUCUGAUUUUUCGUUCUGCCUCUUCCUUCUUCUGCUUCUUCUUCUUCCUGCUCCUUCUGCUUCUUUUUCUUCUUGCUCCUUCUUCUUCUUUUCCUCCUCCUUCUUCUUCUCCAUCCUUCUUCCUCCUCCUUCUCCUUCUCCCUCCUUCUCCCUCCUUCUCCCUCCUUCUUCUUCUUCUUCUCCCUCCUUCUUCCUCCUCCUCAUUCUUCUUCUUCUUCUUCUUCUCCUUCAUCCUUCUUCUUCUUCUUUUUUUUUCUUCUUAUUCUUCUUCUAGGAUUGUUCUAAUUAUUUGUUCUUGGUCUGAGUGUUUGGAGAAUUUCGAACUCCAUUUUUUUUCCUUUUAUAUCAAUUUAGGGAUCGUUUGUUAUUUUUUUAGUUUCGCUUCUCAAAUUAUUAUUAAGGUUAAAUUGUUGUCUUUUAUGGUUAAGGUUGUGGCGUUUUCUGUUUAUUAGCUUAAGUAGAGUCUUCUCAAUUUUGGAAAGUUCGUUAACUUUAUUUUGGUAUCUACCUUGAAAGAGAAUCAACGAGGAUUGUAACUUUGUGGGCUUCAAAUUAGGUCAAUUUGACCCAUUUUAGUUUUGAUUUCAGGAUUAGUUUCAUGGUAGUGAGGGAUAGCUUGAGAACUGUUUAAUAAAAAAGGGAUAUCACCUAAUUAAGAAGUUUCUAUAAUUGUAGGAUUAAUAACACACUAUUGAACAAAGAAAAGAACUUGAAUUGGGUAGAAUGAAAUAAUAAAUUAUUGAAGGGGCAAUUGCGAAUGGAAGAUGUAUUUUUUAUUGCCUAGUUAAGCUAAUAAAAGUAGAUAUCCAAGGGGACACAUGGAAUAUAGAGUUUUAAGAGAUAAAAUCCAUUAUAAAAAAUACAAAAAACUGCUGGAAUUUACUGUUUUAUUAAUCCUUCUUCAAAGCUAUUCUAAUUUUCUUCAACUUCUGAAACUAAAUGUUUCCUAUUCUGAUAUUUGAAAAAAUGGAUUGAUGUAGGUUGUUGGAAAUUCUUUUUUGGUUCAAAUUCUGAUAAGAAUCACUGUGCUAUUGGUUUUCGAUUUUCAAUUUCUGAGGCUUGUGAAUUAUUGAACCUAUUCUAGUCCAUCUGGGCUUGCAAGUGUUCUAAGUCAAGGGCUAUGGUUUAGUUUCUUGCUGUUUGAUCUGAUGUUACUGCUUCUCUUGAUCCUUAGGCUGAUUUUGGUUCUCUAUCUUAUUAUUAUUCAGCUACACGCUUCUAUAUUCCACCUAAUAUAAAUCUUUUUUUGGAAUCAAAUGGAAAUAUGGAGCUUUGAGUAGUAGUUGUGUUCGUAGUUUAGUUUAAGAAGAACUGCUUAUUGUCCGUUACCUCUGUUCAAUUGUUUCUCUUUUCCUUUAGGUAUUUUUGAGUUGGAGUUGGAUUGAAUUUUUAUUUGUAUGCAUACUGCCCUAUGAUUGCGGUGAUGUAAGAGUUCAAUGGAGGCAGCGAAUAAGAUGUUGUGUUCCUGCUAUCUGAGCUAUGAAUUGUACUCCAUUUUAGCCCUAUUCUUCUCAUUGACUAGCUUCUUAUAGCACUGUUUGUUUGAUACAUUUUGACAUGAUAUUUCCAUAUGCUAUUUUUAGUUAUAGAUGGAAAUUUAGUUAAAAUGUAAAUUUGUUGUAAUAUCAAGUAGAACCUAUUAGUUUCAUGGGAAAGUACUUCUAAAGGCCAUAUUUGGUGUGAACUUUGCAAGAAAAUUAGUUUUGUACAGUUUGUGUUCUUUUAGUAUCACAUUUAUAUAAGAUAUGGAGAAAGAAAGCUGGACAGAGCUAA